rnacentral:rRNA from 1 species
GACAGAGGCCCCAAGCGUUAGGCGGAAUCACUGGGCUUAAAGCGUGUGUAGGCGGACUUCUAAGUGCCUUGUGAAAUCCCUCGGCUCAACCGGGGAACUGCGUCCGAUACUGGAUGGCUCGAGUUCGGGAGAGGGAUGCGGAAUUCCAGGUGUAGCGGUGAAAUGCGUAGAUAUCUGGAGGAACACCGGUGGCGAAGGCGGCAUCCUGGACCGAUACUGACGCUGAGGAGCGAAAGCCAGGGGAGCAAACGGG